AAUUGGUGUUUGGUAUUCAAGUUUAGACCAACACUAGACUUUGGUCUAACAUUUGUCCAACGUUAGUCCUUGGUACCUGGACCAGACGUUGACUCAAACUGACCAGUUAAGUCAUGACGUGGCUAAAGUUUCUGUUAAUUAAUACACAUUUCCGAAAAUAUAUCUAUCUUUAGUAACAAUGACUGACUGUAUCCUUAACCCAUCAAACACGUGGACGAUUGAUAUUAUAUCUCCAUAAACCUAAUAGAUUAACGGCUAAGAUUUCAACCAUGUUUCCUUUGAUUCACCCGUAACACUUGAAUGGAAACCCAUUUGCAGGAAAUCUUCUUCUUCUCCUUAAAAUCCAUGUACUACACAGAGAAACCCAGGUAUCAAAAGUUCAAAACCAUCUUCGUCUAUUUUCUCUUCCUUAAAUCCAUCAACACCAUCAUGAAAUUGUUUCCCCUCUCUUUUUCUCUUUCCCAUAUGCAAUUGAAGAUCUCAAAAUUUCAGAUUAAACUUGAUCGUCUUCCCUGAAAAUUUCAGAUUCUGUGAUUAAAUCUGAAAUUCAUUUUCUUUAACAAAACUUCCAAACCCUAAAUCAUAACCCUUAAACCCAUUAAUCUCCUACCUUCAAGUUUUGUCCAACAAUCACACAAGGAAGAACCCUAACCUUUCCCUGUGUACCGCAAGCUCCGUUGCAAAACCUUCAUCGAAUUGUCUCUCAAAUCUCUUCAAUAACGCCAUUCACUACCAGAUCUUCAAUUCGAUGGAGAAAUUUCUUCUGAUAUUCCUUACAUUGGUACUGCUAACGAGCAUGAUUCAUGGGAAAUUUUUUGGAUCAUCAAGUGACCCAGAUUUCGAUUCUCAUUUAGAUUCCCAGCUCUGAUUUUUGGUAAUUGAUUCGUGGGUUUGGAGGAAUUUUAAAGUUUUUGGUGUGUUCAAUUUUGGUUGGGUGGUGUAAAUUUGAGGUUGGAGAUGAAAUCAGGGUUAUCUGUUUGAAGUUUAAGAGUGCCCUUAGAUUGAAAAAUUGGGGUUUUUGGAUUUGCAAUACAACGGUGGGAGAAUUGAUUUUGAUGAAUCUCCUCUGGAAGUUAAAACGAGAACAACUAAUGGAGAUGUUUCUCAGUGAAGAUGUAUAUCAGAGAGUGUUGAAUGUCGCUGAAGUACUGAAUAUUGAUGAUCAACGAUUAAUGAUAAUCUAUUUCUUUAUUUUUCCGUGUGAUUUUUUUAGGGUUUUACUCAAUUUUUCUGAAUUGGGAUCCUUGUAGAUUUGUGAUGUACAGAUUUGAACGAUGGUGGUCUUGGUAGUGUGUGGUCUUGGAUGAAGAUGAAAGCUUUCAGCAGACGCCGAAACAGUGAACAGUUUCUAUGAUUUUUAAUUUCGUUUUUUCCCCUAACGGUGCCAUUACGAACGUUAUGUAAUUGCAUUUUAUUAACAUAAUAAGAAGAAAAAAAACCAAGGUGACCAUAUUUAGGUUACAAAAACUCCACCAUACGUUGAGAGUUAUCAGAGCUCUAUUUUUCCCAAAAGUGAUACAAAAACUCCAAAUUGUUUAUAGAGUUUAAAUUGCAUCAUUCAAUUUUUUUAAUAAUCCCAUAACAUCCCUCCCGUGUUUUUCAUUUUCUCGAUACAACACCUCCCCUUGUCUUCUUCCUCUACCACCACCAAAACCCAAAUCAUCUCUCGAUCCUUCACCAACAACCUUUCCUUCUCUUCUUCCGCUACCACCACCAACAGCAGCACCGCCCCUUCUCUUCUCCCUCUACCACUACCAGCUACUCCCCUUCUCUUCAUUUUUGUAGUUAUGUAGAACCUAGGGUUUCAAAUCGCUUGAAAUAGAAGAAGAAAAGGGAUAUUGGAUGACGAUCUGCUUGAAUCACAAUCUCCUAAGGGCAUAAAGAUGUCUUAUCCUUGUUUCUUUCAAAGGGUAGUAAUGUGGAUGUAAAGAAUGAUUUUGUCUCACCGCUACGAUAUGCUGCCACUUUUGGCGAUCAUGAUACAGUUAAAAUUCUUCUGGAUCAUGGUGCCAAUGUGAGUAGAACUUACUGCCAAAUUUUUUCUUCCAUGAUACAUUUACUCCACUUCAUGCAUCUAUUUAUCCCCAUUCUUGGAAAUGUGUGGAGCUAUUACUGAAGGUGCUGAUCCAAAUGGUGGACCAGAUGGAUUUAAAGCUCUUCCAUUUGCUGCGGGGAAAGUGCAAAUCAUCAAGCUGCUCGUUGAAGCUGGUGCAGAUCCAAAUGUUACAGAUAUACUAGUAUGGGUGAGUCUGUUAAAAUAUCUGUUCAGCAAGAAUUGGA